CUCACACCAUCGGAUGUGCCCAGAUGGGAUUAGCUAGUAGGCGGGGUAACGGCCCACCUAGGCGACGAUCCCUAGCUGGUCUGAGAGGAUGACCAGCCACACUGGAACUGAGACACGGUCCAGACUCCUACGGGAGGCAGCAGUGGGGAAUAUUGCACAAUGGGCGCAAGCCUGAUGCAGCCAUGCCGCGUGUAUGAAGAAGGCCUUCGGGUUGUAAAGUACUUUCAGCGGGGAGGAAGGUGGUGAGGUUAAUAACCUCAAU
rnacentral:rRNA from 1 species